AUACACAUGGCUAAUAGACAUAAUACAAUAAGGAGCAAAAGCUAUAAAAUUCACCAUCACCACGCAAUCAAUGAAGCAGGCAAACACAAGGUGGGUUGAUAUGCAGUGAAAGUGUUAAUUAAGUGGAACUGCAGCAAAUCAUGACUCAAGUCUGAGCUUUUUUUGCGGCUUUCAUCUUUCCCAGAUAAUUCCUUCAGUGAUUUUUGCUGCUAACUUGGUUUCUAUUUUUUCACAUCUUUGUAUUAGCGGAAUGGAUUAAGAUUAUAAAACCCUCUUACAUUUCUUUUGCAGUUGGUUGAUUUUGAGAGCUGGAAAAUUAUUUUCUCAGAAUCUAAGAAAAGUGCUGGUUACUUCAGCAGAGUCUCUCUUCCAGAAUAUAAUGUUCCUCGAGAGCAACAAGAAAUGGAAAUUCAAGCUAACAUCUUUGCUUUUGGAGUAGUUUUACUGGAAAUAAUCAGUGGAAGACCUCCAUAUUGCAAGGAAAGAGGGUGUCUGAUAAAUUGGGCCACAAAGUAUCUUCAAAACCCAGAAGAGAUAAGUAAACUAGUAGA